rnacentral:rRNA from 1 species
UCCCUACGGGGGGCAGCAGUGGGGAAUAUUGCACAAUGGGGGGAACCCUGAUGGAGCAACGCCGCGUGAGUGAAGAAGGGUUUCGGCUCGUAAAGCUCUGUUGGUAGUGAAGAAAGAUAGAGGUAGUAACUGGCCUUUAUUUGACGGUAAUUACUUAGAAAGGCACGGCUAACUUCGUGCCAGCAGCCGCGGUAAUACGUAGGUGGCAAGCGUUUUCCGGAUUUAUUGGGCGUAAAGCGAGUGCAGGCGG